GGGGGUAUAGCUCAGCUGGGAGAGCAGCAGACUGAAGUGCUUUGGCGUUACGUCAUUCGAUUAUUCUGAAGGUCCCGCGUUCGAUCCGCGGUACCCCCA